UACAGAGGGUGCGAGCGUUGUUCGGAAUUAUUGGGCGUAAAGGGUUCGUAGGCGGUGUAGCAAGUCGGGAGUGAAAUCUCUGGGCUCAACCCAGAGACUGCUUCCGAAACUGCUGUGCUUGAGUGUGGGAGAGGCGCGUGGAAUUGCAGGUGUAGCGGUGAAAUGCGUAGAUAUCUGAAGGAACAACCGUGGCGAAAGCGGCGCGCUGGACCACUACUGACGCUGAGGAACGAGAGCUAGGGGAGCAAACAGG
rnacentral:rRNA from 1 species